rnacentral:piRNA from 1 species
UUCGGUAAUCAAAUGGUAGCC